rnacentral:rRNA from 1 species
GAUGAACGCUGGCGGCGUGCCUAAUACAUGCAAGUCGAGCGAACGGACGCGAAGCUUGCUUUUCUGAUGUUAGCGGCGGACGGGUGAGUAACACGUGGAUAACCUACCUAUAAGACUGGGAUAACUUCGGGAAACCGGAGCUAAUACCGGAUAAUCUUUUGAACCGCAUGGUUCAAAAGUGAAAGACGGUCUUGCUGUCACUUAUAGAUGGAUCCGCGCUGCAUUAGCUAGUUGGUAAGGUAACGGCUUACCAAGGCAACGAUGCAUAGCCGACCUGAGAGGGUGAUCGGCCACACUGGAACUGAGACGCGGUCCAGACUCCUACGGGAGGCAGCAGUAGGGAAUCUUCCGCAAUGGGCGAAAGCCUGACGGAGCAACGCCGCGUGAGUGAUGAAGGUCUUCGGAGCGGAAAACUCUGUUAUGAGGGAAGAACAUAUGUGUAAGUAACUGUGCACAGCUUGACGGUACCUAAUCAGAAAGCCACGGCUAACUACGUG